AAAUUGAAGAGUUUGAUCAUGGCUCAGAUUGAACGCUGGCGGCAGGCCUAACACAUGCAAGUCGAACGGUAACAGGAAACAGCUUGCUGUUUCGCUGACGAGUGGCGGACGGGUGAGUAAUGUCUGGGGAACUGCCUGAUGGAGGGGGAUAACUACUGGAAACGGUAGCUAAUACCGCAUAACGUCGCAAGACCAAAGAGGGGGACCUUCGGGCCUCUUGCCAUCGGAUGUGCCCAGAUGGGAUUAGCUUGUUGGUGGGGUAACGGCUCACC
rnacentral:rRNA from 1 species